rnacentral:rRNA from 1 species
CGAAUGCUGACAUAAGUAACGAUAAAGCGGGUGAAAAGCCCGCUCGCCGGAAGACCAAGGGUUCCUGUCCAACGUUAAUCGGGGCAGGGUGAGUCGACCCCUAAGGCGAGGCCGAAAGGCGUAGUCGAUGGGAAACAGGUUAAUAUUCCUGUACUUGGUGUUACUGCGAAGGGGGGACGGAGAAGGCUAUGUUGGCCGGGCGACGGUUGUCCCGGUUUAAGCGUGUAGGCUGGUUUUCCAGGCAAAUCCGGAAAAUCAAGGCUGAGGCGUGAUGACGAGGCACUACGGUGCUGAAGCAACAAAUGCCCUGCUUCCAGGAAAAGCCUCUAAGCAUCAGGUAACAUCAAAUCGUACCCCAAACCGACACAGGUGGUCAGGUAGAGAAUACCAAGGCGCUUGAGAGAACUCGGGUGAAGGAACUAGGCAAAAUGGUGCCGUAACUUCGGGAGAAGGCACGCUGAUAUGUAGGUGAAGCGACUUGCUCGUGGAGCUGAAAUCAGUCGAAGAUACCAGCUGGCUGCAA